rnacentral:rRNA from 1 species
AUUGAACGCUGGCGGCAUGCCUUACACAUGCAAGUCGAACGGUAACGCGGGGCAACCUGGCGACGAGUGGCGAACGGGUGAGUAAUGUAUCGGAACGUGCCCAGUUGUGGGGGAUAACUGCUCGAAAGAGCAGCUAAUACCGCAUACGACCUGAGGGUGAAAGCGGGGGAUCGCAAGACCUCGCGCAAUUGGAGCGGCCGAUAUCAGAUUAGGUAGUUGGUGGGGUAAAGGCUCACCAAGCCAACGAUCUGUAGCUGGUCUGAGAGGACGACCAGCCACACUGGGACUGAGACACGGCCCAGACUCCUACGGGAGGCAGCAGUGGGGAAUUUUGGACAAUGGACGCAAGUCUGAUCCAGCCAUGCCGCGUGCGGGAAGAAGGCCUUCGGGUUGUAAACCGCUUUUGUCAGGGAAGAAACGCUCUGGGUUAAUACCUCGGGGUAAUGACGGUACCUGAAGAAUAAGCACCGGCUAACUACGUGCCAGCCGCCGCCGUAA